rnacentral:rRNA from 1 species
CCUACGGGGGGCAGCAGUGAGGAAUAUUGGUCAAUGGGCGCGAGCCUGAACCAGCCAAGUCGCGUGAGGGAAGACGGUCCUAUGGAUUGUAAACCUCUUUGGUCGGGGAGCAAAAGACGCCACGUGUGGCGUUCCGAGAGUACCCGAAGAAAAAGCAUCGGCUAACUCCGUGCCAGCAGCCGCGGUAAUACGGAGGAUGCGAGCGUGAUCCGGAUUUAUUGGGUGUAAAGGGUGCGCAGGCGGAAGAGCAAGUCAGCGGUAAAAUUGAGAGGCUCAACCUCUUCGAGCCGUUGAAACUGGUUUUCUUGAGUGUGCGCGAAGUAUGCGAACUGCGUGGUGUAGCGGUGAAAUGCAUAGAUAUCACGCAGAACUCCGAGUGCGAAGGCAGCAUACCGGCGCUCAACUGACGCUCAUGCACGAAAGUGUGGGUAUCGAACAGGAUUAGAUACCCUUGUAGUC